AUGGGUUGUCCUGAUGGAACAGUGAAGAUCGGCGACUAUAUGGUCUGGCGACAUUAUUGCAUCAAUGGAAAAAGCAAAGUGUCAAAGCCUCUUCUAUCAAUCCAGCAGCACCCCGCUGCCCUUCGCAUCCUCCCUGCAUCACUGCAACUGGGCCGUGCUCACAUCGUCUGCGGUCACAUGCGCAAUCUUUGCGCUCGACGCUGCCUCCACCGAGAUUCAUUGCAAGGGUGCCUGAAACGCCCACUGCUGGGUACAUGCAUACAACAAUUAUGCCAUGUCUUCCCUAUUCGAUUGGUCGCACAGUGUCUGUAA
rnacentral:rRNA from 1 species